GACGAACGCUGGCGGCGUGCUUAACACAUGCAAGUCGAACGGAAAGGCCCUGCUUUUGUGGGGUGCUCGAGUGGCGAACGGGUGAGUAACACGUGAGUAACCUGCCCUUGACUUUGGGAUAACUUCAGGAAACUGGGGCUAAUACCGGAUAGGAGCUCCUGCUGCAUGGUGGGGGUUGGAAAGUUUCGGCGGUUGGGGAUGGACUCGCGGCUUAUCAGCUUGUUGGUGGGGUAGUGGCUUACCAAGGCUUUGACGGGUGGCCGGCCGGAGAGGGUGACCGGCCACAUUGGGACUGAGAUACGGCCCAGACUCCUACGGGAGGCAGCAGUGGGGAAUAUUGCACAAUGGGCGGAAGCCUGAUGCAGCAACGCCGCGUGCGGGAUGACGGCCUUCGGGUUGUAAACCGCUUUCGCCUGUGACGAAGCGUGAGUGACGGUAAUGGGUAAAGAAGCACCGGCUAACUACGUG
rnacentral:rRNA from 1 species